rnacentral:rRNA from 1 species
UACGGAGGAUGCAAGCGUUAUCCGGAAUGAUUGGGCGUAAAGCGUCCGCAGGUGGCUGUGUAAGUCUGCUGUUAAAGAGUCUAGCUCAACUAGAUACAAGCAGUGGAAACUACACGGCUAGAGUACGUUCGGGGCAGAGGGAAUUCCUGGUGUAGCGGUGAAAUGCGUAGAGAUCGAGGAAGAACACCGGUGGCGAAGGCGCUCCUGGCUGGGACCGACACUGACACUGAGAGACGAAAGCUAGGGGAGCGAAUGGG